AGGGAUGAACGCUAGCGGCAGGCUUAACACAUGCAAGUCGAGGGGUAUAGGGAGCUUGCUUCCUAGAGACCGGCGCACGGGUGCGUAACGCGUAUACAAUCUACCUUUACAGAGGGAUAGCCCAGAGAAAUUGGAUUAAUACCUCAUAGUAUUUUGAAUCGCAUGAUUGAUUAUUAAAGUUCCAACGGUAAAAGAUGAGUAUGCGUCCCAUUAGCUAGAUGGUAAGGUAACGGCUUACCAUGGCUACGAUGGGUAGGGGUCCUGAGAGGGAGAUCCCCCACACUGGUACUGAGACACGGACCAGACUCCUACGGGAGGCAGCAGUGAGGAAUAUUGGACAAUGGGCGCAAGCCUGAUCCAGCCAUGCCGCGUGCAGGAUGACGGUCCUAUGGAUUGUAAACUGCUUUAUACAGGAAGAAACACUCCGACGUGUCGGAGCUUGACGGUACUGUAAGAAUAAGGAUCGGCUAACUCCGUG
rnacentral:rRNA from 1 species